UACGGAGGGGGCUAGCGUUGCUCGGAAUUACUGGGCGUAAAGGGAGCGUAGGCGGACAUUUAAGUCAGGGGUGAAAUCCCAGAGCUCAACUCUGGAACUGCCUUUGAUACUGGGUGUCUUGAGUGUGAGAGAGGUAUGUGGAACUCCGAGUGUAGAGGUGAAAUUCGUAGAUAUUCGGAAGAACACCAGUGGCGAAGGCGACAUACUGGCUCAUUACUGACGCUGAGGCUCGAAAGCGUGGGGAGCAAACAGG
rnacentral:rRNA from 1 species